GACGAACGCUGGCGGCGUGCUUAACACAUGCAAGUCGAGCGGUAAGGCCCCUUCGGGGGUACACGAGCGGCGAACGGGUGAGUAACACGUGAGCAAUCUGCCCUUCACACGGGGAUAACUUCGGGAAACCGGAGCUAAUACCCGAUACGACCACCUCGGGCAUCCGAUGGUGGUGGAAAGCUCCGGCGGUGAAGGAUGAGCUCGCGGCCUAUCAGCUUGUUGGUGGGGUAACGGCCCACCAAGGCAACGACGGGUAGCCGGCCUGAGAGGGUGACCGGCCACAGUGGGACUGGGACACGGCCCAGACUCCUACGGGAGGCAGCAGUGGGGAAUAUUGGACAAUGGGCGAAAGCCUGAUCCAGCAACGCCGCGUGAGGGAUGACGGCCUUCGGGUUGUAAACCUCUUUCAGCAGGGACGAAGCGCAAGUGACGGUACCUGCAGAAGAAGCACCGGCCAACUACGUGCCAGCAGCCGCCGUAACAC
rnacentral:rRNA from 1 species